rnacentral:rRNA from 1 species
AGCUUUAUGUAUAAUAUAUAAAGUAAAACCUGCCCACUGAAUUAUAAUUAUUUAAAUGGCCGCAGUACCUUGACUGUGCUAAGGUAGCAUAAUAAAUUGACUUUUAAUUGAGGUCUUGAAUGAAAGGAACCAUGAAUAAUUACUGUCUUAUUUUAACUAUUAGUAAUUUACUAAUUAGGUGAAAAUUCCUUUAUAUAAUUUAAAUAGACGAGAAGACCCUAGGAGUUUUAUAUAAAUUUUGUUGGGGCGACAUUAUAGCAAGCAGUGUAUAUUGAUUAACCUAUAAUUUUAAAUUAAUAAUAUAACGAGAAGUUUUAAUUAAAAAUAAACUACCCUAGGGAUAACAGCAUAAUUUAAUUUAAGUUUGUGACCUCGAUGUUGGACUAGGGGCUUUUAAAGCUAAUAGCGUUAAAUGAUAGUUCUGUUCGAACUUUAUACCCU